UACGUAGGUGGCAAGCGUUGUCCGGAUUUAUUGGGCGUAAAGCGAGCGCAGGCGGAAGAAUAAGUCUGAUGUGAAAGCCCUCGGCUUAACCGAGGAACUGCAUCGGAAACUGUUUUUCUUGAGUGCAGAAGAGGAGAGUGGAACUCCAUGUGUAGCGGUGGAAUGCGUAGAUAUAUGGAAGAACACCAGUGGCGAAGGCGGCUCUCUGGUCUGCAACUGACGCUGAGGCUCGAAAGCAUGGGUAGUGAACAGG
rnacentral:rRNA from 1 species